rnacentral:rRNA from 1 species
GACGAACGCUGGCGGCGUGCUUAACACAUGCAAGUCGAACGGGCUGCCUGGUUUUCGGAUCGGGUGGUGAGUGGCGAACGGGUGAGUAACACGUGAGUAACCUGCCCCUCUCUUUGGGAUAACGUCGGGAAAUCGGCGCUAAUACCGGGUAUUCUGGCUUCCUCGCAUGGGGUUGUUGGGAAAGGUUUUUUCUGGUGGGGGGUGGGCUCGCGGCCUAUCAGCUUGUUGGUGGGGUGAUGGCCUACCAAGGCGGUGACGGGUAGCCGGCCUGAGAGGGUGUCCGGCCACACUGGGACUGAGACACGGCCCAGACUCCUACGGGAGGCAGCAGUGGGGAAUAUUGCACAAUGGGCGGAAGCCUGAUGCAGCGACGCCGCGUGGGGGAUGACGGCCUUCGGGUUGUAAACCGCGUUCAGUGCAGAACAAGGCUCUUUGUGGGUUGAGGGUAUGCGCAGAAGAAGCGCCGGCUAACUACGUG